GCAUUUACGGAGAGUUUGAUCCUGGCUCAGGAUGAACGCUGGCGGCGUGCUUAACACAUGCAAGUCGAACGAUGAAGCCAGCUUGCUGGUGGAUUAGUGGCGAACGGGUGAGUAACACGUGAGUAACCUGCCCUUGACUCUGGGAUAAGCCUGGGAAACCGGGUCUAAUACUGGAUAUGACUGCCGGCCGCAUGGUCUGGUGGUGGAAAGCUUUAUUGCGGUUUUGGAUGGACUCGCGGCCUAUCAGCUUGUUGGCGGGGUAAUGGCCCACCAAGGCGACGACGGGUAGCCGGCCUGAGAGGGUGACCGGCCACACUGGGACUGAGACACGGCCCAGACUCCUACGGGAGGCAGCAGUGGGGAAUAUUGCACAAUGGGCGCAAGCCUGAUGCAGCGACGCCGCGUGAGGGAUGAAGGCCUUCGGGUUGUAAACCUCUUUCAGUAGGGAAGAAGCGAAAGUGACGGUACCUGCAGAAGAAGCGCCGGCUAACUACGUGCCAGCAGCCGCGGUAAUACGUAGGGCGCAAGCGUUAUCCGGAAUUAUUGGGCGUAAAGAGCUCGUAGGCGGUUUGUCGCGUCUGCCGUGAAAGUCCGGGGCUUAACUCCGGAUCUGCGGUGGGUACGGGCAGACUAGAGUGCAGUAGGGGAGACUGGAAUUCCUGGUGUAGCGGUGAAAUGCGCAGAUAUCAGGAGGAACACCGAUGGCGAAGGCAGGUCUCUGGGCUGUAACUGACGCUGAGGAGCGAAAGCAUGGGGAGCGAACAGGAUUAGAUACCCUGGUAGUCCAUGCCGUAAACGUUGGGCACUAGGUGUGGGGGACAUUCCACGUUUUCCGCGCCGUAGCUAACGCAUUAAGUGCCCCGCCUGGGGAGUACGGCCGCAAGGCUAAAACUCAAAGGAAUUGACGGGGGCCCGCACAAGCGGCGGAGCAUGCGGAUUAAUUCGAUGCAACGCG
rnacentral:rRNA from 1 species